rnacentral:rRNA from 1 species
UAGCAUAUCAAUAAGCGGAGGAAAAGAAACCAACAGGGAUUGCCUCAGUAACGGCGAGUGAAGCGGCAACAGCUCAAAUUUGAAAUCUGGCCCUAGGCCCGAGUUGUAAUUUGCAGAGGAUGCUUUUGGUGAGGUGCCUUCCGAGUUCCCUGGAACGGGACGCCAUAGAGGGUGAGAGCCCCGUCUGGUCGGACACCGAGCCUCUGUAAAGCUCCUUCGACGAGUCGAGUAGUUUGGGAAUGCUGCUCUAAAUGGGAGGUAUAUGUCUUCUAAAGCUAAAUACCGGCCAGAGACCGAUAGCGCACAAGUAGAGUGAUCGAAAGAUGAAAAGCACUUUGAAAAGAGAGUUAAAUAGCACGUGAAAUUGUUGAAAGGGAAGCGUUUAUGACCAGACUUGGCCCGGUUGAUCAUCCAGCGUUCUCGCUGGUGCACUCUGCCGGUCCAGGCCAGCAUCAGUUCGUCGCGGGGGAUAAAGGUUUCGGGAAUGUGGCUCCUCCGGGAGUGUUAUAGCCCGUUGCGUAAUACCCUGCGGUGGACUGAGGUCCGCGCUUCUGCAAGGAUGCUGGCGUAAUGGUCAUCAACGA